UAGAGAGAGAGAGAGAGAGGUAGAGAGAGAGGUAGAGAGAGAGGUAGAGAGAGAGGUAGAGAGAGAGGUAGAGAGAGAGGUAGAGAGAGAGAGGUAGAGAGAGAGGUAGAGAGAGAGGUAGAGAGAGAGAGGUAGAGAGAGAGGUAGAGAGAGAGGUAGAGAGAGAGAGGUAGAGAGAGAGGUAGAGAGAGAGGUAGAGAGAGAGAGAGAGGUAGAGAGAGAGAGAGGUAGAGAGAGAGAGGUAGAGAGAGAGGUAGAGAGAGAGGUAGAGAGAGAGGUAGAGAGAGAGAGAGAGGUAGAGAGAGAGGUAGAGAGAGAGGUAGAGAGAGAGAGGUAGAGAGAGAGGUAGAGAGAGAGGUAGAGAGAGGUAGAGAGAGAGGUAGAGAGAGAGGUAGAGAGAGAGGUAGAGAGAGAG